UACAAGUUACCCCGGAGGGAAAGUUGCAAAGCACUUUGAAGAGAGAGUUAAAGAGGACGUGAAACCGAUAAGAUGGAAACGGAUAGAGCCGACGUAUCUGACCUGUAUUCAGCCGGAUGGCUGUCCAUCGCUGGUUAGUCAGUCCUGUUUCUGGCUGGCUGGCUAGUGAUUGGGCAGUUUUACUGGUGCAUUUGCAGGUGGUGUGCGCCGAAGCUUGCGCUAUGCUUUGGCUGGAUCGUUGCUUUGAGGUCUCCCUUCGGGCGAGAAACCAGAGCUUCAGGAAGGCUAUGUGCUGUGCGAGUAGUAGUGCACGGUAUUCGGUUGACCCGGUUGUAGGUUUUUGCUGGGGUUGCAGUCGCAUGCGACUGUGCCUUGGUGGGUUCUUGCAGCUGGUUAGACCCCGUGACAUUCUUCGGUGUAAAAGUCGGUCAUCUCUCCGACCCGUCUUGAAACACGGACCAAGGAGUUUAACGAGUGUGCGAGUCAUUGGGUGUGAAAACUCAAAGGCGCAAUGAAAGUAAAGGCUUCGCUUGUCGAGCUUAUAUGCGACCUCGGUGGUUUCGGCCAUUGAGAGCAGCAUAGCCCCGUCCCGACUGCUUGCAGUGGGGCGGAGGAAGAGCAUACUCGCUGAGACCCGAAAGAUGGUGAACUAUGCCUGAGCAGGACGAAGCCAGAGGAAACUCUGGUGGAAGUCCGGAGCGGUUCUGACGUGCAAAUCGAUCGUCUGACUUGGGUAUAGGGACGAAAGAUCAAUCGAACCUUCUAGUAGCUGGUUUCCUUCCGAA
rnacentral:rRNA from 1 species